AAAACUUUCAACAACGGAUCUCUUGGUUCUCGCAUCGAUGAAGAACGCAGCAAAAUGCGAUAAGUAUUGUGAAUUGCAGGAUUUAGUGAAUCAUCGAAUUUUUGAACGCACAUUGC
rnacentral:rRNA from 1 species